AUUGAACGCUGGCGGCAGGCUUAACACAUGCAAGUCGAGCGCAGGAAACUGACGGAACUCUUCGGAGGGAAGGCAGCGGAAUGAGCGGCGGACGGGUGAGUAACACGUAAGGAACCUGCCUCAAGGAUUGGGAUAACUCCGAGAAAUCGGAGCUAAUACCGGAUAGUUCAUCGGACCGCAUGGUCCGCUGAUGAAAGGCGCUCCGGCGUCACCUUGAGAUGGCCUUGCGGUGCAUUAGCUAGUUGGUGGGGUAACGGCCCACCAAGGCGACGAUGCAUAGCCGACCUGAGAGGGUGAUCGGCCACACUGGGACUGAGACACGGCCCAGACUCCUACGGGAGGCAGCAGUAGGGAAUCUUCCACAAUGGACGAAAGUCUGAUGGAGCAACGCCGCGUGAGUGAUGAAGGUUUUCGGAUCGUAAAACUCUGUUGUAGGGGAAGAACACGUACGAGAGGAAAUGCUCGUACCUUGACGGUACCUUACGAGAAAGCCACGGCUAACUACGUGCCAGCCGCCGCCGUAA
rnacentral:rRNA from 1 species